rnacentral:rRNA from 1 species
GACGAACGCUGGCGGCGUGCUUAACACAUGCAAGUCGAGCGGAAAGACGCGGCGUUUGUUGGUUUCUCGUGUGGCGAACGGGUGUGAAACACGUGUGUAACAUGUCCUUGACAUUGGGAUAACAUCUCGGAAAAGGGGCGAUAAUCGGGUAUAAUCUACUGCUGCGCGGGGUGGGAUGGUAAAAGUCGGCGUUAGGGGAUGGUAUUGAGGCUUCUGAGCUGGUUUGUGGAGUUGGUGCUUCCCACGGUUUUGACGGGUCGCCGGCCUGGGAGGGUGAACAGCCUCCAUGCUACUGAGGUACGGCCCAGUAUGCUACGGGCGGCAGUAGUGGGGAAUAUUGCACAGUGGGCGCGAGCCUGAUGUAACAACGCCGCGUGCGGGAUGACGGCUUUCGAGUUGUAAACCGCUUUCGAAUGUGACGAAGAGUGCGUGACGGUAAUGGGUAAGAAAGCCACGGCUAACUACGUG